CCGCUGUCCGCCUGCCCCCGGAAAUUUCGCCCACACGAUGCCCCCAAUCUCGCGAUGCCCCCGACCGCCUCCCCCGCCGUGACAGCCGCCUCGACGUCCUCACCACGGCUCACGAUGCCCCCAUCGACCCAUCGUCUGUGUCCCCCUUCCUCCCUGCGUCUCCCUCUCACCCUCUAUCGCCCAAAAGCUCCAACCUGUCGCCAGAGACUUGGCGCAGACCCGUCGACUAACACGUCGUCGUCCUCACGCCGUGGGGGAUGACUGGACACGAUGCUCCCCACCCGCACCCAACACCACGCCAGCCUCGCCCUCGAUCCAGGCUGCCGCAGGUGUCCUCGACGCCACCCUUCCGGCUCGCCGGUGGUUGAUUCCUCUUCUCCUUCCUCUGGUCGCAGGGGAUGGCGUCGUAGCUCGGGUACGCCACCCUUCCGCAUGCGCCAUCCACGCCAGGAACAACAUGGGCGGCGGCGGCCACGAUGCCAGCAGCAACACACAGCCAGCGCCACGGGUCAGCGGCCAGAAGCCCCCGCCAGCCCUAGAGGCGACGCCGACGCCGACGCGCGGACGAGCUGGAUCUGGUGCACGUGUCCAAUCUCCCCCGCCCGCUCAGCCUCAGCGACCUGUCCCCGGCGCCCAUGCACGGGUCGCAGCUCCGCGUGGCGUACCAGGGCGUCCCGGGCUGCGACGCCAUCCCCUGCGACCAGUUUGAGGUGGCCUUCCAGGCCGUCGAGCUCUGGAUCGCUGACCGCAUCGUGCUCCCCGUGGAGAACUCCCUCGGCGGCAGCAUCCACCGCAACUACGACCUCCUCCUCCGGCACCGCCUCCACAUCGUCGGGGAGGUCCAGCUCCCCAUCCACCACUGCCUCCUCGCGUCUGCGGGGAAUGUGGCGGCCAUGGUGUGGCGGCCUGAGGCCCCUGCCCAGGGCUGCAGGCUGUUGCAACGGGGUAUGGACUAAAAAUCACUCCAUGCAUUAGUUCACUUGUUUGGAUGGCCUAGGACUAAAUUUUAGGUGACUAAACAUUUUAGUCCUGGUAUCCAAACAGGCUCUUGUUGUGUGUAUGUUAUGUAUCUACAGUCUGUAUUCUGCUGAUUUAUUUCUCCAUUGUUCUGGUCCGUGUAACAUUUUUUGAUCUGGUCCAUGUAACAUUUUUUGAUCUGGUUCAUGUAACAUUUUUCAUUACGUCUUAUGGUUAUUUACAACUGAGUUUAUCUUGUGCUGCUUUGCAUGUUCUUGAUUUUGAUUUUGAGAAGUUCUGUUCAAUCUCCUUGUCAAAUUUGAAUGUGUAUGCGUGCUUGGUCUAUGGAAAAUAUUUCCAAGGAAGAGGGUUGAAAUCUCAUGCAUAUACGCAUAGCCUUGAAGCAGGCCAUCCAAACAGCACCAUGGAUCGAUGUAUGGUCCUAGAUCCUACAAGGGACGCCAGCAAGGUAGCAAAUUUGGUGGCAGUACUACAAGUUGGAGUUCUGCUGGCCGCAGAUUUGGUACUAUCGACUUGAGUGGCAAUCAACAAAGGGGCAGCAUGCCAUUUGGUAGUCACAAUGGCUCUCUGGAGUUCAUGAAUGAGCAAAACCAUGGGCCACGUGCUACAAAACCGAAGAUACAAGGCACAGAGAACACCUCAGGAGAUGAGAGAAGCGAGAAAAUUGUUCCUCUGAUUGAUAGCGAACUGUACAAUCGCUCUGAUUUUAUAACUGAGUACAAAGAUGUCAAAUUCUUUGUAAUAAAGUCCUACACUGAGGACCAUGUACAUAGGAGCAUUAAGUAUAAAGUUUGGGCCAGCACAGCCAACGGGAACAGGAAGCUGGAUUCUGCUUACCAUGCAGCCAAAGAGAAAGAAGAGCAUUACCCUAUUUUCUUGUUUUUCUCGGUUAAUGGAAGUGGCCAAUUCUGUGGCGUGGCUGAGAUGAUUGGACCUGUCGAUUUUGAUAGAAGUGUUGAUUACUGGCAGCAGGAUAAGUGGAGUGGCCAGUUCCCUUUGAAGUGGCACAUAAUUAAGGAUGUAUCGAACAAUCUUCUGCGGCACAUCAUUCUUGAGAACAAUGACAAUAAACCUGUCACAAAUAGCAAGGACACACAGGAGGUAAACCAUGCAUUUUUUCUUUGUGAUUUUUGCUCAUAGUGUUGGCAUGAGACUGCUGGAGCAGAUAAUAUGAAUGUUUAGUAGGGAUGGCAGUUGGACUCGUGUGUAUGGAUACCCGCGGGUUUCGUACCCGGUGGAUAUGGAUACGGGUAGAAAAACUCACUCGCGGGUCCUAUCGGGUAGGAUACCCGAAAUAUAUCGGAUCUGGUAUGGGUAAAAUACUUUACCCGCGGGUAUCCGGUGGAUAUCCGAGAUAUGAAUAUACCUCUUUAAAUGUGCUACAUCCACUAAAAAUUAAGGACCAUAAUAGAAUGGAGCCAAAAAAAUACACAGCAAUCCUGGUUUUGUUGCAUGCUAGUUGCUGCUACUUCACCAUGGACACAGGCACGACCACGAGCUGCUGUUGCAAGCGGCAGGCUGCUGCUACUAUACACCAUGUCACGGGCUGCUGGAGUUGGUUGCCGCAUGCUGUUUUUAUUUAUUAAUUUAUCAUGGCGCAUGUGUUGUUGAUUAAUAAAUAUUAAUUUGUGCUAACAAUCAACUGUAAUGUACUAGAGAUCAAUGAGACAUUGAUAAUGUUAUGACUGUCAACUGUCAUGAACUCAUUAAGCUUGUAUUCUUUGUACUCGAAUUUAAAUAUAUUGGAUGUGAUAAUUAUGAGUUUAGAUAUUGUAUCGACGUGUAGCCAAAUAUAGUCAUUCUCGUGUUGUACUAGU